UGGGUCAGCUCAGUGAUUAGAGCUUGGGCCUUGUGUCCGUAAGGUCCCGGGUUCGAAUCUCGCCAGAGGCAG
rnacentral:tRNA from 1 species